GGGGUUUGUGCCCGAUUUCCCGCGCAGUCCGCCGCGCCAUUCCACGGUACGAGGGCCUGGGGCCGGCCCGGCCUCCGACCCGCCUUACGGCCUCGGCCCUGGUGACGUGCAGGCUGUCAUCUCGGAUGGGGACCGUGGUGACAGUAGCGUCUGAACCGUGGCUCGCGAGGACGGACUGAGAAUGCCGUGAGCGGCCGGAGCAAGUGCUCACAGAGUUCUCCUCCCCGACCCGGCUGAACCGGGUGGGGAAGUGGGAGAGGCGAGUGCCGGCGCCUGGGCCUGUCUCCGGGGCGAGAGGCGGGACCCCAAGGGGCUGGGACGCCGCCCCCGCCUGGCGUCCCUCCACCUGGGCUGGACUCGUGGCCCUUGGGGACAAGGUCGCGAGCGCGCGGCAGCGGCGGAGCGUGGACAUGACCUGGUGGGCUCGAUCUGCGCUUUCCGCCUUAAGAGCCUGGGGCCCGGCAGGGUGGAGGAGUUUCUAUACUGAAGUCAGAGACAUCCUGGGGGAGGGUCAUCAAGGGCCUUCUCCUGGAAGAACGGACAUGGUGGCCACCAGUCUUUGGGGUGUGAGAAUGGCCCCCGGCGCACUGGGGCUGGCAGUCCUGAACCCUGGCAUUGCAGGUGGAAGAAGACCCAUAUCUUUUUCUGCUGGUGCCUCGAGCGUCUUUGGAAGAGGAGGCAGCAGUAGGAAGGAGAAGCUUUUUCUGCAGGACAUAGCGGAGCUGAUCCAAGCCAGAGCCUGCCAGAGGGUGGUGGUCAUGGUGGGCGCCGGCAUCAGUACGCCCAGCGGCAUUCCGGACUUCAGGUCUCCCAGGAGCGGCCUCUACAGUAACCUGCAGCAGUACGACCUCCCGUACCCCGAGGCCAUUUUUGAGCUCGCUUUCUUCUCUCACAACCCCAAGCCCUUUUUCACUUUGGCCAAGGAGCUGUACCUCAGGAACUACAGGCCCAACAUCAUACACUACUUCCUCCGACUGCUGCACGACAAGGGCCUUCUUCUGCGGCUCUACACACAGAACAUCGAUGGGCUGGAGAGAGUGUCUGGCAUCCCUGCCUCGAGGCUGGUUGAAGCUCAUGGAUCCUUUGCCUCUGCCACGUGCACUGUCUGCCGAAGGCCCUCUCCGGGGAAGGACAUUUGGGCUGACGUGUCCAUGGACAGGAUUCCCCGCUGCCCGGUCUGCACUGGCAUCGUGAAACCCGACAUCGUGUUCUUUGGGGAGGCACUUCCCCAGAGGUUCCUGCUGCAUGUGGUUGAUUUCCCUAUGGCAGAUCUGCUGCUCAUCCUUGGGACCUCCUUGGAGGUUUGUCAGCAGGUCCAGAAGUGGACUGGAGUGUGUGUGUGCGUGCGUGCGUGCAUGCAUGUGUGUGUGUGUGUGAUGGGGGGAGGCUGGAAGGAUAGGGCCCAGGAGGUGGGGCAGCUGGGGAUGGCACCAGGUGCUCUUGGAGCCUUCUGGCAUCCUAACUUGGGAAGGCGAGGAGGGCCAGCUGGUGAGGAAGCAGAGGUAUUCCUGGCCUAGGGAGCGGCAGUCUGGGCAGAAUGGGGAGGAGGGAGGACACUCAGCUUUGGGGGUGCUGUCAGUGUGGGUGGGGCACCAUGUGUGAGCAGAAGGGAGAAGGGAGGGCUGUGGAGGGGUAGGGCAGGACAGACUUCCCAGGCCAUGUCGCAGAGGCCGAUUUUGUGCUAGAAACAUUGAUGGACUUGAAGGGGUUGAACUGGGGACAUGGCUGGUGCCCUGCAGUGUCCCAGAGACUCUUGGAGAGUGGGGCUUGAAGCAAGAUGUCCAGGAGGCUGGUGCUCACGAAGUCAGAGCUAUGGGCACAUUCAGACCACGUGACUAUGAGAGAGGGCAAGCAGAAGGACUUGGGGACAGGAGAGGGAGUGGUUUGGCUCUGUCUGUGGGCACUCAGGCCAUUGGUUGGUAAGGAGGUAUGUGAGGAGGGUGCUGAGCUCAGUUCUGCACGUGUGUAUGAGGUGCCUGGACACCCAUGGACACAUUCCAGAAGCUGUUCUCCAUCUGGACCUGAAGCUCAGGACUUUGUGAAGGACGUCACAAGAGCAAUAAAUGAGCCUCUGCACCGAGCUCUACCUGACUGGAUGUCAGCACCACAGGGCACCAGGGCCAGGAAGGCCUGUGCUCAGACCUCCCACCAGCCCAGAGGCCUCGAGCCCAGUGCGUUUCUUCAGCAGAUGUGCCUGCUGUGGGCCAGCCCCGUGCUAGGGCUUUGGACAGACACAGUAGGAUGUCGCAAGCAAGGGAUGGUGUUAGGUGGCAGUGUGACAGAGGAGAAGUGACAAGUGGGACGGGAAAGCUGGGGGGGGGGUUGUGAACUGUGUGUAAUACCAGCGUGCUUGGUUCGUGUGGCCGUGUCGGGAAGGUGAGCCUGGAGCUGAGGCCAGAAGGAGGCGAAUGUGUUAGCAGAGGUCCGGCAGCAGACACCACCACACAGUGGCCCGUGGCCACAUGGAGUGAGUGAUCGGAAGGCAGUAGGGACAAGGUCUGACCUCCUGACCCCGCGGGUACUGUGGUGGGCAGAGCUGGCAGAGACCCCACAGGUGGCAGUCCGGGCGGUGAUGGCGGCUGGCCAGGGACACUGCGGAAGGCGUCAGAGCCCAGGUGUGUGAAGGGAUGGUGGGUGGGAGAGCGUGGACGCCCACAGGGCUCCAGGGCUGUGACCUGAGUGAGACCGCAAGAACAGAGCUGGUUUCCUGAGAGCGAGAAGCCAAAUGGGCAGGUUGGGGGAACUUGGCCCCAGACACACUGACUCGAGUGCUGUGUCAGACCUGUGAUGCCCAUACUGGGCCUGUAUGGAAGGGGGAGCUUUGUGGGGGGCAGAGGGCUGGGGGCAGUAGUAGUUAGCGGUGGGUGGUGCGGAGUCUGGCCGCUGCCCUGUGCUGGCCACCAGCAGUGGACACUGGGACCGCCAGUCCUCUGUUUUUUAAGUGAAAUGAAAAUAGCCUUUUUCUCUGGUUAUAAAAGUACCAUAUGCUCCCACAUUAUACAGACAUAGGGAGUGAAGUAGAGGGUCCCUCCAGGUGGUUAGCUUGUCCUCACAGGCUUCUCUGCUGCACAGAUGUGGGCUCUCAGCAGAGGCGGGGCAACACUGUGCGCAGAGACCUCCUUGGUCAGGUGCGGGUAUGCCGUCCCCGCUGGGACCCCCGAGCAGAGUUCUUGUCUGCGGGCACCAAGGAGUCUGCGGUGUUGCUCAGACUUUAUCUCCUGUGCCGUGUGGAAGAAACAGUAACACACUUGAUUAUAGACCAACCCUCUGGGUUCCACUGAGGGGGGUGCGUGUCAACCAUAAGGUGCUUUCUGAAAUCUGAAAUAGUCUGAACUCUGGAACACAUCUAGCCCCAAGAGUUUUAAGAUGAGCGAUGAUGGCUGUAUCACAAUUUAUCUAAGUAACGUUCUAUUGAUGGACAGCAGAAACGAAUAGUGUAUGGAUUUUAUAUUCAGAAUAAUAGUGUAGUGAGUGGUUGUGUGGACACGUGUUUGCACAUUCAUGUGAGCACUUCAGUUAAUACUGGGAAGUUCCUUUCCAAAAAGAUAGACUGAGUGCAAUGCGGCCAACCGACCCGCUGUGUAGGAGUGGCCAUUUCCACGUCCUCAACAACCCAAGCGUUAGCUGUCUCUAAGGGUUUUCUUAAAUCUAUCUUUGAGUUUUUAUCCGUCUGAUUGGUUAGAAAUAAAUGUGUGUGUGAGAGAGGAGGGAAGAGAGAGAGAAGGAGGGAGAUCUAACAUUUCUGUAGUAAAGAGUGAAGUUCAUCUUUUCGUGCUAACCACUGUGUUUUCUUUGGGUUACAUAUUUAUGCCUCUUGCUCCUUUUUCAUUGGGCUAUUUUCUUAGUCUGUUUAUAAAUUAGCAUAUGAAGCCAUAAAUUAUAUAAAGUGUUUAUAAAUUAGUUUAGCAAUUAGAAAUAUAAACUGUCACAUGUUGUUAGUAUGUUUGCAGUUUAUGGUAAUGAGGUUUAAAAGUUAUUUUUCUACAUCAUAUUUUUAUGUAGAUAAUAAUGUGAUACUUGGCCUUAUCUGACUUAUCAGGCCUAAAAAGUUCUCUACCUUUACUUAUGAAACCUAAAUUCCCUUGAAGAACUGUUCUGUGUACAUUUAAAUCACUCAUUUGAAAUUUUUUCAGCGAAAGCAGGAAUUGAGUAUUUUCUUACCAGAUAAUGAGCUAGUGUCCAUGCCAUUUAUUUCAUCUGUUUCUUGUAUUAUUACUCGUGAGUGGAAAUUUCACUUGGGAGCUGGAUGAAGAAGCCCAGAGGUACCGAGUUAGGAGUCCCUGGAGGUCUGGAUGUGGAGACUGUGGAGAGGUAGAACCUUUUGCCAGCUUGUCUGAGGCCGUGCGGAGCUCGGUGCCCCGACUGCUCAUC